CAUUGCUGGACCUGUGGCUGUUGUCAUUUUCCUGCUGCUGGCUCUGUACGCAUACAUUAAGAAACGUCAUGUGACAGCUUUGCAUGAGGUGCCAGCCAGGCUGAAUGCAGAACAAGAUGAAGUUGAGAUGGAUCAGCUUAUCGCAAACACAGAUGGAUGGGAGAUUGCAGUUGACCGCCUGAACUUUCGUGAGCCUAUUGGCAGAGGAGCAUUUGGUUCCGUGUGGCGAGCGCUGCUAGGUCGGUCCCGUGGCAGACCUGGAAAUCUUACAGU